ensembl:lncRNA
CUGAAUUAGCCUUCAUCAUGAGGGAGGUCAGGAGGGCUGAGGGGGAACAAAAUGGUGGACUGGAAAAGCCUUCAUCAUGAGGGAGGUCAGGAGGGCUGAGGGGGAACAAAAUGGUGGACUAAAAAGCCUUCAUCAUGAGGGAGGUCAGGAGGGCUGAGGGGGAACAAAAUGGUGGACUGAAUUAGCCUUCAUCAUGAGGGAGGUCAGGAGGGCUGAGGGGGAACAAAAUGGUGGACUGAAUUAGCCUUCAUCAUGAGGGAGGUCAGGAGGGCUGAGGGGGAACAAAAUGGUGGACUGAAAAAGCCUUCAUCAGUUGUUAUAAAGACUGACACUACAAGCUUCCUGUUGGUUGACAGACCCAUUGCUUCACCAAUGAAGUUUGUAUUAAAGGCUGUGUGUUCCAACUGGCUGCCUAUUCCCUAAAUAAUGCACUUCCUAUGGCUCUGGUCAAAAGUAGUGCACUAUAUAGGGAUUAGGGUGCCAGUUGGCUGAAAGCUCCAAGUAUGGGAAGCAUUGAUAAAGGGGGGGACAGGACAGGGGUCUGGGAAACACUGGUAAAGGGCAGGACUUGGGAUCUGGGAAACACUGGUAAAGGGGGGACAGGGGUCUGGGAAACAUUGGUAAAGGGGGACAGGACAUGGGAAACAUUGAUAAUGGGGGGACAGGACAGGGGUCUGGGAAACACUGGUAAAGGGGGGACUUGGCGUCUGGGAAACACUGGUAAAGGGGGGACUUGGGGUCUGGGAAACACUGGUAAAGGGGAGGACUUGGGGUCUGGGAAACACUGGUAAAGGGGAGGACUUGGGGUCUGGGAAACACUGGUAAAGGGGAGGACUUGGAGUCUGGGAAACACUGGUAAAGGGGGGACUUGGGGUCUGGGAAACACUGGUAAAGGAGAGGACUUGGGAAACAUUGGUAAAUGGGAGGACUUGGGGUCUGGGAAACACUGGUAAAGGGGAGGACUUGGGGUCUGGGAAACACUGGUAAAUGGGAGGACUUGGAGUCUGGGAAACAUUGGUAAAUGGGAGGACUUGGGGUCUGGGAAACACUGGUAAAGGAG